rnacentral:rRNA from 1 species
CGUAGGGUGCAGGCGUUAAUCGGAAUUACUGGGCGUAAAGCGUGCGCAGGCGGUCUCUUAAGACAGGUGUGAAAUCCCCGGGCUUAACCUGGGAACUGCGCUUGUAACUGAGAGGCUAGAGUGUGGCAGAGGGGGGUGGAAUUCCACGUGUAGCAGUGAAAUGCGUAGAGAUGUGGAGAAACACCGAUGGCGAAGGCAGCCCCCUGGGCUAACACUGACGCUCAUGCACGAAAGCGUGGGGAGCAAACAGGAUUAGAUACCCUGGUAGUCCACGCCCUAAACUAUGUCAACUGGUUGUCGGGGAAGCAAUUCCUUGGUAACGAAGCUAACGCGUGAAGUUGACCGCCUGGGGAGUACGGCCGCAAGGUUAA